GAUGAACGCUGGCGGCGUGCCUAAUACAUGCAAGUCGAACGAACGGACGAGAAGCUUUCUUCUCUGAUGUUAUCGGCGGACGGGUGAGUAACACGUGGAUAACCUACCUAUAAGACUGGGAUAACUUCGGGGAACCGGAUCUAAUGCCGGAUGAUAUUUUGAACCGCAUGGUUCAAAAGUUAGAUACGGUCGUGCUUUCACUUAUAGAUGGAUCCGCGCUGCAUUAGCUAGUUGGUAAGGUAACGGCUUACCAAGGCAACGAUGCAUAGCCGCCCUGAGGGGGUGAUCGGCUACACGGGAACUGAGACACGGUCCAGACUCCUAAGGGAGGCAGCAGUAGAGACUCUUCCGCAAUGGGCGAAAGCCUGACGGAGCAACGCCGCGUGAGUGCUGAAGGUCUUCGGAUCGUAAAACUAUGUUAUUAGGGAAGAACAUAUGUGUAAGUAACUGUGAACAUCUUGACGGUACCUAAUCAGAAAGCCCCGGCUAACUCCGUG
rnacentral:rRNA from 1 species